AUGAGUGUGAAUGAGGGGAUGGAGCUUAGGGACACUGAAGCAUCUCCAGAACUCAGCUGUGUGUCUAUGAAGAGUGAAGCAUCACUGAAUGAUCCGCUUGAUUUCAGUGGUGAAGCAGUGACCUCUGACCCCAGACUGAAGAUCCAAAAAGCUGCAUAUCCAGAACCCAACUGUUUGUCUAUGAAGAGUGAAGCAUCCUUGAAUGAUCCAAUUGAUUUCAGAGGUGAAGCAGUGACCUCUGACCCCAGAGUUCAGACGAAUGCAAAAAUCGACCCAUGUUUUUAACCUGCAAACACGUGGAGCUUUAAAUGUGAACUGGUGGAUCGAUAAGACAAUGCAUUAGUGAUGCACGGUAUACCGGUACUGAAAAAAUACCGGUAUCUAUUAUAUUUCAAAUGGUAUGAUAUCUUAAUUUUGCUCAAUUUGGUAUUUCAUAUGCUGCUGUUCUGAAGUUCACAUGUAGGUGGCAGUGCUUCCCAAAUUGCUAUGAAACCGGUAAACCUGAAGAACAACGUCAUGGAUUAAACAAAUGAAACUCUAACGUACCCAAAACUAAUAAAUAAAGAGAACAGUAGAAGUGAAAUUACUUU
ensembl:lncRNA